AGUGAACGCUGGCGGUAGGCCUAACACAUGCAAGUCGAACGGCAGCACAGUAAGAGCUUGCUCUUACGGGUGGCGAGUGGCGGACGGGUGAGGAAUACAUCGGAAUCUACUUUUUCGUGGGGGAUAACGUAGGGAAACUUACGCUAAUACCGCAUACGACCUACGGGUGAAAGCAGGGGAUCUUCGGACCUUGCGCGAUUGAAUGAGCCGAUGUCGGAUUAGCUAGUUGGCGGGGUAAAGGCCCACCAAGGCGACGAUCCGUAGCUGGUCUGAGAGGAUGAUCAGCCACACCGGAACUGAGACACGGUCCAGACUCCUACGGGAGGCAGCAGUGGGGAAUAUUGGACAAUGGGCGCAGGCCUGAUCCAGCCAUACCGCGUGGGUGAAGAAGGCCUUCGGGUUGUAAAGCCCUUUUGUUGGGAAAGAAAAGCAGCAGGUUAAUACCCCGCUGUUCUGACGGUACCCAAAGAAUAAGCACCGGCUAACUUCGUG
rnacentral:rRNA from 1 species